rnacentral:misc_RNA from 1 species
UAGAAGAAGAGGAAGAAGAGGAAGAGACGGAGUCUGAGGAAGAGUCAGAGUCUGAAGAAUCAGAGGAAGACGAUUCUGAGUCUGAUGACGAUCAAGCACCUAUUGAGAAGCGCAAAAACAAUUUGCAAGUGAAAACGUGUGACGAAACACGAGGGACGACUGGCAGCCUUGAAAAAGGGUAAUUAUUUGUUGAAAGCGCAGGUAGACAGGAUCAAGGACAAUUUAAUGAAGCAGCGAGAAGAUAGUCUCACCCUGCAGGAGGAUCUUGAUUCUGUCUUAGCCGAACUAGGUUAGACUAAAAAACAGCCUAAGCAAAGAAUAUUUCCAAAGAAUGUAUCGUAUGCAAAUGCACAUAUUAAAAUAUAGACAAUUGUAUGUUACACACAUAUUUUUAAAUAAAUUAUUAUUAUUGAUCGAACGCGGAAAUUCUCGUAACAGCUUACUAAGGAAGCGAAUUUCUUCGAUAAAAUAAUAACUCUAUGUAUGAUUCUAUUCUAAGUAAGAAUUUAAGAUGUAAAUAUUCAAGCCAAGGACUUGAAACAUUUCCUGGUGCUUUGAAUAUUGAUUGAAUGAAUGAGUUUGAUUUUUUCAAUUGUUAAACAUGAAUUUGCUGCUAAUAAAGUAAAAUAAAAUAUAUGUAUAUCUAACAAAUGCACUUUGUUAUCGCAAUAAAACCAUUAUUGUUUUAUUAGCAGAAUAAA